AUUGAACGCUGGCGGCAUGCUUUACACAUGCAAGUCGAACGGUAACAGGUUAAGCUGACGAGUGGCGAACGGGUGAGUAAUGCAUCGGAACGUGCCCGAUCGUGGGGGAUAACGCAGCGAAAGCUGCGCUAAUACCGCAUACGAUCUGAGGAUGAAAGCGGGGGACCGUAAGGCCUCGCGCGAUCGGAGCGGCCGAUGUCAGAUUAGGUAGUUGGUGGGGUAAAGGCUCACCAAGCCAACGAUCUGUAGCUGGUCUGAGAGGACGACCAGCCACACUGGGACUGAGACACGGCCCAGACUCCUACGGGAGGCAGCGGUGGGGAAUUUUGGACAAUGGGCGAAAGCCUGAUCAGCAAUGCCGCGUGCAGGAAGAAGGCCUUCGGGUUGUAAACUGCUUUUGUACGGAGCGAAAAGGCUCUCUCUAAUACAGGGGGCUCUUGACGGUACCGUAAGAAUAAGCACCGGCUAACUACGUGCCAGCCGCCGCCGUAA
rnacentral:rRNA from 1 species